rnacentral:rRNA from 1 species
GAUGAACGCUAGCGGCAGGCUUAANACAUGCAAGUCGAGGGGCAGCAUGAAUUUACUUCGGUAGAUUUGAUGGCGACCGGCGCACGGGUGCGUAACGCGUAUCCAACCUUCCCGCUACUCCGGGAUAGCCUUCCGAAAAGGGAGAUUAAUACCGGAUGGUGUUCAAGUGGUGCAUAUUAUUUGAACUAAAGAUUUAUCGGUAGCGGAUGGGGAUGCGUACCGUUAGAUAGUAGGCGGGGUAACGGCCCACCUAGUCCACGAUGGUUAGGGGUUCUGAGAGGAAGGUCCCCCCACACUGGAACUGAGACACGGUCCAGACUCCUACGGGAGGCAGCAGUGAGGAAUAUUGGUCAAUGGCCGGGAGGCUGAACCAGCCAAGUAGCGUGAAGGAUGACUGCCCUACGGGUUGUAAACUUCUUUUGUUUGGGAAUAAAAGACGCUACGUGUAGCGUUCUGCAUGUACCUUACGAAUAAGCAUCGGCUAAUUCCGUG